GGCUGAAACUCGCCUCUUUGAAGUCGGAAUCGCUAGUAAUCGCAGAUCAGCAUGUUGCGGUGAAUACGUUCCCGGGUCUUGUACACACCGCCCGUCAAACCAUGAGAGUCACCAACACCCGAAGUCCGCUUUGGCGGCCUAAGGUGGGGGAGAUGAUUGGGGUUAAGUCGUAACAAGGUAGC
rnacentral:rRNA from 1 species